rnacentral:tRNA from 1 species
GCGGGCGUGGUGGAACCGGUAGACACGCGAGAUUUAGGUUCUCGUGCCGCAAGGCGUGGGGGUUCAAGUCCCUCCGCCCGCA